UGGGAUUUUCCAUUUUCUGUCGAGUCAAGCGCUUCAUCUUAGCAAAUGAAGGGGAAAUAACGAUGAAAUCGACGUCAAAUCCCGUAUUUUCAGAAGUCAACGAAAGGGAGAGGAUCCCCAUACCGUGAAUUUCUCGAUGUCCAAAACUGCAAUUACGAUCGCACAUUGUCGUUGUAAAGCAGGGGUGCACGCAGCAGGAUCACGUGACUUUGUUGGGUUCCCAAUGAAACGUUUAAGGAUGUAAACACACAGACUUCUACGAAAAACCCGAAAACGUAUGACGAAUGUUCAAGUAUAAGUAAUGACAAAUUUACUAUUAUGAGUAUAGAAAUCGUGUCAUAAACAACUCCCUACGAUUGAAAAGCAAAUAUGGCUGGAGAGGUACCGCCGGUAGGCAUCGUCGUUCUUGGACGUAAACAUGUAGGAAAAACAAGUUUAAUCAAAGCUCUGUGUGGAUUGAAACAACACUUGGAAUGCGCUUCUUCCAGUGUGGAGCCAGUGUUAUACCCAUAUCCGAAAAACAAGGCGAUUGUUUUUUGGGACUUUCCUCCCUUUGGAAGCGACGAUGUAUCCAAUGAUGCAUCCACGGCUAGUGUCCAAGGAAUUAAAUUAGAUACCGAACUUUACGAAUGUGCUCUGCUUGUGUGCGACGAUGAACUCGCCGAGUUAGAUAAAUCAAUGCUCGAACAGGUUUUGAAGUUGAAAUUUAAAAGAGUAGUAAUUGUUCGUAAUAAAGUGAACGCUAGUAUAGAAUUUGAUCGUACUCGGUGUCUUGAGAACCACAGCCCCGAUCACGUGUUUUCUCAGUGCAUAUAUGGCACAGAAGAGUAUUUUGAAGCUUAUAAGCCUGACAAAAUCUUUGUGUUGGACACGUUUGACACAGACAAGUUCCAGUUCAAUGACCUUGACAUCUAUCUUCAAAGCGGCGCUGGCUAUAACAGAGCAAAUCCUGACCGAUCG